CUUCCGGGAAGUUUUCGGCGACCUGGAUACCAUCUUCGACACGGGGACAAAUCCCGGGAUGGAGUCCAGGGUUUCCCGCGGCUUCGGCGCUUCCUGACCUGGCGUGACUGCCGACUUGUCGGCACCACCCAGGCCUCAGGCUCCCUGUCUGUAGUGGUGAAUCGACCUUCCUCAUGGCAGUCCAGGCUUCCCAAGCCCCAUGUCCUGUUGAUCCGGGACAAACUCUUCCUUGAACGUUCUUCACUACGAGCCGCUGCUGAUCUGUACUGCCUGGAGGAGCAUUUCCAUAGCGCCCGCAAAAAUACAAUAAAGCUCACCCAAGGAAAUAACCAUGGAUUCUCACGCCUGGGUGCCAGUGUUUGGAAUCGACUGGGCUUUUUUAUGUUAGUAGGCAAUUUAAAACAAUUACUUAUUUGAAAUCAGAAGCGCAAUAGGCAUAACUUCAGCUCAAGAUCCCAGAGGAAGAGGAGCCAUCUUUCCCAGUGGCUUUACCGGAAAAGUCCCUGAGCCAGUCACUGUGCCCACUGGAAGACAAAUGGAGACUUGCCAAGCUUUGGUCAUGAACUCACUGGGACUGCAGGAGACUGGGUCAGCC
rnacentral:lncRNA from 10 species